ensembl:lncRNA
GGGCUAGGUAUUAGGGGAAGGUAGUAGGGGCUAGGUAGUAGGGGCUAGGUAUUAGGGAAGAUAUUAGGGGAUGGUAUUAUGGCCUAGAUAUUAGGGGAAGGUAUUAGGGGCCAUGUAUUAGUGGAAGGUAUUAGGGACUAGGUAUUAGUGGAAGGUAUUAGGGGCUAGAUAUUAGGGGAAGGUAUUAGGGGAAGGUAUUAGGGGAUACGUAUUAGGGGAAGGUAUUAGGGGCUAGGUAUUAGGGGAAGCUAUUAGGGGCUAGGUAUUAGGGAAAGAUAUUUGGGGCUAGGUAUUAGGGGCUAAGUCUUAGAGGCUAGGUAUUAGGGGAAGAUAUUAAGGGCUAGGUAUUAGUGGCUAGGAUUUAGGGGCGAAGUAUACCUCGGCAUGCUAGAGCAGCUGUAAGUUCUAUGGCAGAAUCUCAUUACCAUCCUAACAGCUUGCAGAUUCAUUUGCAUUUUUCCGUGAG